CAGUCGCCGCGGGAAAACGGAGGGUGCAAGCGUUAAUCGGAAUUACUGGGCGUAAAGCGCACGCAGGCGGUCUGUUAAGUCAGAUGUGAAAUCCCCGGGCUUAACCUGGGAACUGCAUUUGAAACUGGCAGGCUUGAGUCUUGUAGAGGGGGGUAGAAUUCCAGGUGUAGCGGUGAAAUGCGUAGAGAUCUGGAGGAAUACCGGUGGCGAAGGCGGCCCCCUGGACAAAGACUGACGCUCAGGUGCGAAAGCGUGGGGAGCAAACAGGAUUAGAUACCCCGGUAGUCCCUGUCUCUUAUAC
rnacentral:rRNA from 1 species